GGCUCCAUAGCUCAGUGGACAGAGCGCUGGUCUUCUAAACCAGGUGCCUGGGUUUGUAAAAAUUCGGGGCUC
rnacentral:tRNA from 1 species